AUAACAGGCUUAUCUCCCCCAAGAGUCCACAUCGACGGGGAGGUUUGGCACCUCGAUGUCGGCUCAUCGCAUCCUGGGGCUGUAGUCGGUCCCAAGGGUUGGGCUGUUCGCCCAUUAAAGCGGUACGCGAGCUGGGUUCAGAACGUCGUGAGACAGUUCGGUCCCUAUCCGUCGUGGGCGCAGGAAAUUUGAGAGGAGCUGUCCUUAGUACGAGAGGACCGGGAUGGACGCACCGCUGGUGUACCAGUUGUCUUGCCAAAGGCAUCGCUGGGUAGCUAUGUGCGGACGGGAUAAGUGCUGAAAGCAUCUAAGCAUGAAGCCCCCCUCAAGAUGAGAUUUCCCAUAGCGUCAAGCUAGUAAGAAC
rnacentral:rRNA from 1 species